rnacentral:snoRNA from 1 species
AGCCUGUGAUGUUUGAGAUUGUCCGUACCAUCUGAGAUUCUCAUUGACGAUUACCUCCACUUUCUGAGGCUU